rnacentral:rRNA from 1 species
CACUAUCGUUAACUGAAUACAUAGGUUAACGAGGCGAACCGGGGGAACUGAAACAUCUAAGUACCCCGAGGAAAAGAAAUCAACCGAGAUUCCCCCAGUAGCGGCGAGCGAACGGGGAGCAGCCCAGAGUCUGAAUCAGCUUGUGUGUUAGUGGAACGGUCUGGAAAGUCCGACGGUACAGGGUGAUAGUCCCGUACACCAAAAUGCACAGGCUGUGAACUCGAAGAGUAGGGCGGGACACGUGGUAUCCUGUCUGAAUAUGGGGGGACCAUCCUCCAAGGCUAAAUACUCCUGACUGACCGAUAGUGAACCAGUACCGUGAGGGAAAGGCGAAAAGAACCCCGGCGAGGGGAGUGAAAAAGAACCUGAAACCGUGUACGUACAAGCAGUGGGAGCACCUUCGGGUGUGACUGCGUACCUUUUGUAUAAUGGGUCAGCGACUUAUAUUCUGUAGCAAGGUUAACCGUAUAGGGGAGCCGCAGGGAAACCGAGUCUUAACUGGGCGUUAAGUUGCAGGGUAUAGACCCGAAACCCGGUGAUCUAGCCAUGGGCAGGUUGAAGGUUGGGUAACACUAACUGGAGGACCGAACCGACUAAUGUUGAAAAAUUAGCGGAUGACUUGUGGCUGGGGGUGAAAGGCCAAUCAAACCGGGAGAUAGCUGGUUCUCCCCGAAAGCUAUUUAGGUAGCGCCUCGUGAACUCAUCUUCGGGGGUAGAGCACUGUUUCGGCUAGGGGGUCAUCCCGACUUACCAACCCGAUGCAAACUACGAAUACCGAAGAAUGUUAUCACGGGAGACACACGGCGGGUGCUAACGUCCGUCGUGAAGAGGGAAACAACCCAGACCGCCAGCUAAGGUCCCAAAGUCAUGGUUAAGUGGGAAACGAUGUGGGAAGGCACAGACAGCCAGGAUGUUGGCUUAGAAGCAGCCAUCAUUUAAAGAAAGCGUAAUAGCUCACUGGUCGAGUCGGCCUGCGCGGAAGAUGUAACGGGGCUAAACCAUGCACCGAAGCUGCGGCAGCGACACUAUGUGUUGUUGGGUAGGGGAGCGUUCUGUAAGCCUGCGAAGGUGUGCUGUGAGGCAUGCUGGAGGUAUCAGAAGUGCGAAUGCUGACAUAAGUAACGAUAAAGCGGGUGAAAAGCCCGCUCGCCGGAAGACCAAGGGUUCCUGUCCAACGUUAAUCGGGGCAGGGUGAGUCGACCCCUAAGGCGAGGCCGAAAGGCGUAGUCGAUGGGAAACAGGUUAAUAUUCCUGUACUUGGUGUUACUGCGAAGGGGGGACGGAGAAGGCUAUGUUAGCCGGGCGACGGUUGUCCCGGUUUAAGCAUGUAGGCUGAUUGUCCAGGCAAAUCCGGAUAAUCAAGGCUGAGGUGUGAUGACGAGGCACUACGGUGCUGAAGUAACAAAUGCCCUGCUUCCAGGAAAAGCCUCUAAGCAUCAGGUAACAUUAAAUCGUACCCCAAACCGACACAGGUGGUCAGGUAGAGAAUACCAAGGCGCUUGAGAGAACUCGGGUGAAGGAACUAGGCAAAAUGGUGCCGUAACUUCGGGAGAAGGCACGCUGGUGUGUAGGUGAAGUCCCUGCGGAUGGAGCUGAGACCAGUCGAAGAUACCAGCUGGCUGCAACUGUUUAUUAAAAACACAGCACUGUGCAAACACGAAAGUGGACGUAUACGGUGUGACGCCUGCCCGGUGCCGGAAGGUUAAUUGAUGGGGUUAUCCGUAAGGAGAAGCUCUUGAUCGAAGCCCCGGUAAACGGCGGCCGUAACUAUAACGGUCCUAAGGUAGCGAAAUUCCUUGUCGGGUAAGUUCCGACCUGCACGAAUGGCGUAAUGAUGGCCAGGCUGUCUCCACCCGAGACUCAGUGAAAUUGAACUCGCUGUGAAGAUGCAGUGUACCCGCGGCAAGACGGAAAGACCCCGUGAACCUUUACUAUAGCUUGACACUGAACAUUGAGCCUUGAUGUGUAGGAUAGGUGGGAGGCUUUGAAGCGUGGACGCCAGUCUGCGUGGAGCCAACCUUGAAAUACCACCCUUUAAUGUUUGAUGUUCUAACGUUGGCCCCUUACCGGGGUUGCGGACAGUGUCUGGUGGGUAGUUUGACUGGGGCGGUCUCCUCCCAAAGCGUAACGGAGGAGCACGAAGGUUAGCUAAUCCUGGUCGGACAUCAGGAGGUUAGUGCAAUGGCAUAAGCUAGCUUGACUGCGAGCGUGACGGCGCGAGCAGGUGCGAAAGCAGGUCAUAGUGAUCCGGUGGUUCUGAAUGGAAGGGCCAUCGCUCAACGGAUAAAAGGUACUCCGGGGAUAACAGGCUGAUACCGCCCAAGAGUUCAUAUCGACGGCGGUGUUUGGCACCUCGAUGUCGGCUCAUCACAUCCUGGGGCUGAAGUAGGUCCCAAGGGUAUGGCUGUUCGCCAUUUAAAGUGGUACGCGAGCUGGGUUUAGAACGUCGUGAGACAGUUCGGUCCCUAUCUGCCGUGGGCGCUGGAGAAUUGAGGGGGGCUGCUCCUAGUACGAGAGGACCGGAGUGGACGCAUCACUGGUGUUCGGGUUGUCAUGCCAAUGGCACUGCCCGGUAGCUAAAUGCGGAAGAGAUAAGUGCUGAAAGCAUCUAAGCACGAAACUUGCCCCGAGAUGAGUUCUCCCUGAGACUUUAAGUCUCCUGAAGGAACGUUGAAGACGACGACGUUGAUAGGCCGGGUGUGUAAGCGCAGCGAUGCGUUGAGCUAACCGGUACUAAUGAACCGUGAGGCUUAACCUU